rnacentral:rRNA from 1 species
UACGGGGGGAGCAAGCGUUGUUCGGAUUUACUGGGCGUAAAGGGCGCGUAGGCGGUCAGCACAAGUCAGUUGUGAAAUCUCCGAGCUUAACUCGGAAAGGUCAACUGAUACUGUGCGACUAGAGUGCAGAAGGGGCAACUGGAAUUCUCGGUGUAGCGGUGAAAUGCGUAGAUAUCGAGAGGAACACCUGCGGCGAAGGCGGGUUGCUGGGCUGACACUGACGCUGAGGCGCGAAAGCCAGGGGAGCGAACGGG